rnacentral:tRNA from 1 species
GCCUCUGUAGCAUAGCGGCUAAUGCGUCGGUUUUGUAAACCGAAGAUCGGGGGUUCAAAUCCCCCCAGAGGCU